rnacentral:pre_miRNA from 1 species
CAACUACUCCCUCUGUCCCAAAUUUCUUGUCUUAGAUUUGUCUAGAUACGGAUGUAUCUAAUACUAAAAUGUGACUUGAUACAUCCGUAUCUAGAAAAAUCUAAGACAAUAAUUUUGGGAUGGAGGGAGUACUUU